UGGGGAAUUUUGGACAAUGGGCGCAAGCCUGAUCCAGCAAUGCCGCGUGCAGGAUGAAGGCCUUCGGGUUGUAAACUGCUUUUGUACGGAACGAAAAGCCUCUCUCUAAUACAGGGGGGUGAUGACGGUACCGUAAGAAUAAGCACCGGCUAACUACGUGCCAGCAGCCGCGGUAAUACGUAGGGUGCAAGCGUUAAUCGGAAUUACUGGGCGUAAAGCGUGCGCAGGCGGUUUUGUAAGACAGUGGUGGAAUCCCCGGGCUCAACCUGGGAACUGCCAUUGUGACUGCAAGGCUGGAGUGCGGCAGAGGGGGGAUGGAAUUCCGCGUGUAGCAGCGAAAGUGCGUAGAUAUGCGGAGGAACACCGAUGGCGAAGGCAAUCCCCUGGGCCUGCACUGACGCUCAUGCACGAAAGCGUGGGGAGCAAACAGGAUUAGAUACCCUGGUAGUCCACGCCCUAAACGAUGUCAACUGGUUGUUGGGGAUUUAUUUCUUCAGUAACGAAGCUAACGCGUGAAGUUGACCGCCUGGGGGAGUACGGCCGCAAGGUUAAAAACUU
rnacentral:rRNA from 1 species